AACUCUCAACAACGGAUAUCUUGGCUCCCGUAACGAUGAAGAACGCAGCGAAAUGCGAUACGUAGUGUGAAUUGCAGAAUUCCGUGAACCAUCGAAUCUUUGAACGCAAAUUGCGCUUGAGGCUUCGGCCAAGAGCAUGUCUGGCUCAGCGUC
rnacentral:rRNA from 4 species